GAUGAACGCUGGCGGCGUGCUUAACACAUGCAAGUCGAACGGAAAGGCCGAAGCUUGCUUCGGUACUCGAGUGGCGAACGGGUGAGGAACACGUGGGUGAUCUGCCCUGUACUUCGGGAUAAGCUUGGGAAACUGGGUCUAAUACCGGAUAUGACGAUCUCUUGGAUGGGGUUGUGGAAAGCUUUUGCGGUAUGGGAUGAGCUCGCGGCCUAUCAGCUUGUUGGUGGGGUAAUGGCCUACCAAGGCGUCGACGGGUAGCCGGCCUGAGAGGGUGUACGGCCACAUUGGGACUGAGAUACGGCCCAGACUCCUACGGGAGGCAGCAGUGGGGAAUAUUGCACCAUGGGCGCAAGCCUGAUGCAGCGACGCCGCGUGGGGGAUGACGGCCUUCGGGUUGUAAACUCCUUUCGCAAUCGACGAAGCCUUUUGGUGACGGUAGGUUGAGAAGAAGCACCGGCUAACUACGUG
rnacentral:rRNA from 1 species